ACCUUCAUUUGAUCAAGAAAAAAGAAAUCACCAGAUCAGUCAGGAGAUAUUCAAUGCCAAGUCAAUGCCAAUGGUCCAUAGACCUCAGCCUUGUCCAAAUCUGGCCUUGUGGAGUCUGAUCAGAGACAAGGCAAGCGGGAAACAGUGAGUCAGAGUGUACCAGACCCAUGUCAGGGUCCCCCAAGACAAGACAUGUGGGAGACAGUGAGUCAGAGUGUGCCAGACCCAGGUCAGGGUCCCCUAGCAUCUCCCUUGUUACAUUUUUUUGUACUAGGCUUUUCCUUGCCAUUCAGUCAGCAGAACUUCUACCCGCUGGCCCUCAUCGUUCACUUGUUUGGACCCUCAUGGCAUAGUUAUCCCUUGCAGCAUCUGUGGAUGUGGAGGUGGGAGAGAAGCCUGCCCAAGGAUGAUUGCGGCUAAGUAUUUUCUGAAUCACACAAUGCCUUUUUCGUCAGCCAGAGGCAGCCACGGAUUGCUGGGCAUCCCUGGGAAGAAGCCACAGAGCACUGUCCCCCUGUGCCCAGAGUGCAUCUUCACACACAGGUCCAUGUCAGGGUCUACAAAUGAACUAAUAAAACUGGAUUCCCAGA